rnacentral:rRNA from 1 species
AAUGUCUGGGAAACUGCCUGAUGGAGGGGGAUAACUACUGGAAACGGUAGCUAAUACCGCAUAACGUCUACGGACCAAAGUGGGGGACCUUCGGGCCUCAUGCNAUCAGAUGUGCCCAGAUGGGAUUAGCUAGUAGGUGGGGUAAUGGCUCACCUAGGCGACGAUCCCUAGCUGGUCUGAGAGGAUGACCAGCCACACUGGAACUGAGACACGGUCCAGACUCCUACGGGAGGCAGCAGUGGGGAAUAUUGNACAAUGGGCGCAAGCCUGAUGCAGCCAUGCCGCGUGUGUGAAGAAGGCCUUCGGGUUGUAAAGCACUUUCAGCGAGGAGGAAGGGUUCAGUGUUAAUAGCACUGNNNAUUGACGUUACUCGCAGAAGAAGCACCGGCUAACUCCGUGCCAGCAGCCGCGGUAAUACGGAGGGUGNNNGCGUUAAUCGGAAUUACUGGGCGUAAAGCGCACGCAGGCGGUUUGUUAAGUCAGAUGUGAAAUCCCCGCGCUUAACGUGGGAACUGCAUUUGAAACUGGCAAGCUAGAGUCUUGUAGAGGGGGGUAGAAUUCCAGGUGUAGCGGUGAAAUGCGUAGAGAUCUGGAGGAAUACCGGUGGCGAAGGCGGCCCCCUGGACAAAGACUGACGCUCAGGUGCGAAAGCGUGGGGAGCNNNCAGGAUUAGAUACCCUGGUAGUCCACGCUGUAAACGAUGUCGACUUGGAGGUUGUGCCCUUGAGGCGUGGCUUCCGGAGCUAACGCGUUAAGUCGACCGCCUGGGGAGUACGGCCGCAA